AUACAGCUGAUGAGUCCCUAAUAGGACGAAACGCGCGUCCUGGAU
rnacentral:hammerhead_ribozyme from 1 species